AAGGCCCUGCUAGCAACCUAAUAAGACCUGCUGCUUCAGGCAGUCAGGGAGGAAGAAGGAAGGAGAGAGGACUGGAGCUUGGAGGGGUGCUGUGAGACUUAGAAGAUCAGAAAACUGGAGUAAGGGAGACCCUGCCCCAGUGUCUAAGGACUGAAGUGAACUUGGGUCACACAGAGAGAGGAGACAAGAGGAUCCAAGAAAAGAGAUUCAUCGGUGACCUUCACUCUCACCUCCACUCUGCUGAACACAGCAUGGUUUCAACCCACCAGGAGCAAUUUUUUGUAAUGGGUGAAAAGGUGAUUUUUGCUUAUAACAAAGAUGCCAGAUUGAGAGAAUCUUCAACUGACCCUUAAAAUGACAGAGAAAAAGUCUGUUUUAAUGCUUAUUUUUGGCAGGUGUGAAAUGCAGCCCAGAUAAAGUUGAAUCUUCUUAAACUGGGACAAUCUGGUGGAGAAGCCCGUUAUCCUGAUUAACUGGUUUUUUCCAAAUAAAGGAAGAGAUUUCACAAAUAAAAUCUAAAAAGCCUUCAUAUAAAUACU